ACUGUGCGAGAGAAGUAGCAUUAACUGUGAUAAGAAUAUUUCACUUUUCUGUUUUACAUGCAAUCUAUGAUUUAAAGCAUACACUUGUUUGUCCUUAAAUGUGGUAACUACGUUGUAUUCACCAGACAAGGCGUGAUAAAAUGCGUCUUACUACCAUAAUUAAUGCAUAACUUUGAUUUAUCAUUAUAUAAGGAAAUAUAUUGUAACCACGAUGAAAGGAAAGAAGAAUGGUUUCAGGUUAGGAUGAGUGACUAAAUUAUAUACUUAUGGGACUAAAACAAAGCAGCAAUAGAACGAACCUCUAGUCAUUGUAGUGUCACCAAGCAGCAAGAUAACGAACUUAUAGUCAUUGUACUGUCACCAAGCAGCAAUAGAACGAACUUAUAGUCACUGUACUGUUACAAACCAGCAUUAGAACGAACUUAUAGUCAUUGUUCUGUUACAAAGCAGCAAUAGAGCGAACUUCUAGUCAUUGUAAUAUCACCAAGCAGCAAUGAAAUGAUCUAAAGUAAUGAGGCCAUACAAAGUAUAAUAGUGAUUUUACGAUGGAAAUGAUUUCUGUGAACAUAAGCGAUGCCCGAACACUGGAAUACAAAAACAACUUAACUUGUGAAAUUUCCGUUGAUAGUGUUUACUUAUUUAUCAUUAUUGGAAUUGAAUCCUUCCUGUUGCUUUUAUCGUUAUCUUUUUCAAUCGGAAUAUGCUGCAAACAAUGCAACAGAAAAAAGACAUCCUCGUUUGAUCCGCCAUUACCGAACCGAAUUAGCCAAUAUUCUUCCGCAGACACGUUGCCAAGACUUGUGGUGUAUGAAAGUCUUGGAGGACAAGAACAACAUGUAGAUCAGGACAAUGUUUACGAAACAUUUAACUGUGAUCCUGUUUAUGCCAAUGAACAGAGGUUUAGGAAAAAUAUUGUUUUUUCUAUUUAUGCAAAUCAAGUGACAUUGACAGACAUGCUACAAGGAGACGAAGAUGCUUAACUUUUAUUACAGAUACAUGUAUAUCAGUAUACUAUACACCAUUUUCAUAUUACCGUCUUUUUACUCCGGAAUUUAUAUUUUGUUAACGGGUUUCUUUAAAAAUUAAUACAUAUAAACCUUACCACACCUUCAUUAUAGUUGAAAAUCCUGGUACUCGGUCAAACAAGAGCAACAGAAAUAAGUUAAUUCAAGAUUUUAAUCGGUACAAUUUAGAGAGAAUGUAACAGUUUAGCAUGUUUAAUACUUUCUUUAAAUGACUUAAUCAUCAGGAAACAUUGAACAUUCUCAGCAAAUUGCGCCGUAUAUGUAUUUGAUUUAACUUCUCUGGUUGCUCGUGAUUGGCUCAUGAGUACCAGGAUGUCUUGUGACAGAGUAAAUAAAAAUCAUGAAACUCUGAGUAAAAAGUCGAUAAUAUGAAAAUAGAUAAAAUUGAGAAUGGAAAUGGGGAAUGUGUCAAAGAGACAACAACCCGACCAAAUAAAAAUAAAGACUAUUGAAUGUAAUAAUUACACAAUGCUGUUUUAUAAUCAAUGCUACUUUGUAACAUUGUGUUAGAAGUAUCACAUAAUGAUGUUUUAUUAACCGAUACGACUUUGUAAAUUUUAAAUACAAGUUAAUAUUAUUGUCA